rnacentral:rRNA from 1 species
AACGAACGCUGGCGGCAUGCCUAACACAUGCAAGUCGAACGAUCCCUUCGGGGAUAGUUGCGCACGGGUGCGUAACGCGUGGGAACCUGCCCUUAGGUUCGGGAUAACUCAUAUUAAUUUGAGCUAAUACCGGAUAAUGUCUUCGGACCAAAGAUUUAUCGCCUUUGGUUGGGCCCGCGUUGUAUUAGCUGGUUGGUGGUGUAAAGGCCUACCAAGGCGACGAUCCAUAGCUGGUCUGAGAGGAUGAUCAGCCACACUGAGACUGAGACACGGCGGAGACUAUUAGGCAAGGCAGGAGUGCCGAAUCUUGGACUACGGGCGAAGGCAUGAAGGAGUACUGGCGCGUGAGCGAUGAAGGUGUUAGAGUUGAACAGCACGUUUACACGCCACGAUAAUGACAGUACCGGAAGAAUAAGCACCGGCUAACUUCGUG